UACGACCACAUCUUACGCUGAAACAUCGGUUCCCAUACGAUCAAUGAAGUUAAGCAUCGUCGAGCCUGGUCAGUAUCUAGAUGAAUAAUCGCUUCGGAGUAUCUCGUUCUGUAAG